rnacentral:rRNA from 1 species
CGUAUCACCCAAGACAACUUUACGGAGUUGACGAUUGACGGAGCGAAGCGACGUCAAAGCGUUCAUUAAAGUCGAGUUGGCUUAGGGAUACGUUCGUUGGGUAGGGGAGCGUUCUGUAAGCCUGUGAAGGUGUGUCGUGAGGCAUGCUGGAGGUAUCAGAAGUGCGAAUGCUGACAUAAGUAACGAUAAAGCGGGUGAAAAGCCCGCUCGCCGGAAGACCAAGGGUUCCUGUCCAACGUUAAUCGGGGCAGGGUGAGUCGACCCCUAAGGCGAGGCCGAAAGGCGUAGUCGAUGGGAAACGGGUUAAUAUUCCCGUACUUGGUGUUACUGCGAAGGGGGGACGGAGAAGGCUAUGUUGGCCGGGCGACGGUUGUCCCGGUUUAAGCGUGUAGGUGUGUGUUCCAGGUAAAUCCGGUUCACUUUAACACUGAGGCGUGACGACGAGGCACUACGGUGCUGAAGCAACAAAUGCCCUGCUUCCAGGAAAAGCCUCUAAGCAUCAGGUAACAUCAAAUCGUACCCCAAACCGACACAGGUGGUCAGGUAGAGAAUACCAAGGCGCUUGAGAGAACUCGGGUGAAGGAACUAGGCAAAAUGGUGCCGUAACUUCGGGAGAAGGCACGCUGACA